rnacentral:lncRNA from 1 species
ACUUAUCAUCAUUGCUAAAAAUUAUUGGAAGAGAUGCAUGUUGAGUGCUACCACAAAUCUAGAAGUUAUCCAUUGUAGGUUUCAUGGUAGCUUGAACGUAAUUCUUUUAGUCAUUAUUGUUUCUCUGCUAAUAAAAGGAUCUUCAAUAAUAGUAUGAAUCUUUCUUACUGGAGGUCUGGAGUGUUAGUUUCCUGCUGGUGCUCACCAGGAGUCCUUAUCCUGCCUUGCUUAUUCUGCAACUUUGCCGUCCUUAUGAUUUCAUAGCAUUCAUCCAUGUCGUGGUCCCUACUACAAUGAUUUUUACAAAAUUUUACCUUACGAUUAUUAGAGGAUGGGUCCCUGCUACUUGGGAGAAAGAGAUCACAUGUUCUUUACUUUUGUGAUUACUAAAGCGCAGAUACUAAUAAUUUGGCAGUCUAGUCGCAUACAUCGAGUUCUUUUCCUUAAGAACUAGCCCCUGUUCCACAUUGUUUCGAUUCUCAAUUGUUUCUUCAGUCUAAAUCUUGUUUAUAUCAAACUUAUCAACUGAUGGUAUAAGGCUUGGUAUGAGGCUGUAUUUUUGUUAUGGACAUCCCGCUACGAGAGAGUCCUCAUAGGCAAUUUAUUUCAUAAGGAAUCUCAAGCCUUCUUAUCCGAAAUUGUUUCAUGAGUGAUCAAUUCCGUAAUAAAACACACAAAGCAGCUAUUGACUUACUCAUCUUCCUUCUGCCACAGAUCAUUAAGCCUUGUAGCCAGGGCUUACCCCAUUCUGCUUCUUGAAAAUGCCCCAAGAAAGGCAUGUUUUAAUUGUGGCCAACUCCAGAUUGAACCUAGUGGUAACUUGCUAAACCACCACUUAGUCGAUCCAUCUAAGGUGAGAUGGAAACCUUGACAUUUAAGUGUAAGACUUUCUUUCUUCAGUCAUAUUUAUGACAUGUACUUACACAAAUGGUACAUAGAAUCUCCUUUGUUAUAGUAUUUUUGUCCAUAACUGGAUGGAUAAAUUUAUCCGAGAUUGGCUUUUCCUUA